UACGGGGGGGGUAAGCGUUGUUCGGAAUUACUGGGCGUAAAGGGCUCGUAGGCGGCCAACUAAGUCAGACGUGAAAUCCCUCAGCUUAACUGGGGAACUGCGUCUGAUACUGGAUGGCUUGGAUUCGGGAGAGGAAUGCGGAAUUCCAGGUGUAGCGGUGAAAUGCGUAGAUAUCUGGAGGAACACCGGUGGCGAAGGCGGUUCUCUGGGCAUGUCCUGACGCUGAGGAGCGAAAGUGUGGGGGAGCGAACAGG
rnacentral:rRNA from 1 species